rnacentral:rRNA from 1 species
CCUACGGGAGGCAGCAGUGGGGGAUAUUGCACAAUGGGGGAAACCCUGAUGCAGCGACGCCGCGUGGGCGAAGAAGUAUUUCGGUAUGUAAAGCCCUAUCAGCAGGGAAGAAGAAAUGACGGUACCCUAGUAAGAAGCACCGGCUAAAUACGUGCCAGCAGCCGCAGUAAUACGUAGGGUGCAAGCGUUAUCCGGAUUUACUGGGUGUAAAGGGAGCGCAGGCGGGACGGCAAGUCUGAUGGGAAAGCCCGCGGCCCAACCGUGGGACUGCAUUGGAAACUGCCGGGCUGGAGUGCCGGAGAGGUAGGCGGAAUGCCUAGUGUAGCGGUGAAAUGCGUAGAUAUUAGGAGGAACACCAGUGGCGAAGGCGGCCUACUGGACGGUGACUGACGCUGAGGCUCGAAAGCGUGGGGAGCAAACAGGAUUAGAUACCCUAGUAGUC